ACCAGUGUGGUGUAGUGGUUUGAAUAUUGGACUAUGACUCUGGAAACCAGGGUUUAAAUCCCUGCUUGGCCA